rnacentral:rRNA from 1 species
GAUGAACGCUGGCGGCGUGCCUAAUACAUGCCAGUCGAGCGAACGGACGAGAAGCUUGCUUCUCUGAUGAUAGCGGCGGACGGGUGAGUAACACGUGGAUAACCUACCUAUAAGACUGGGAUAACUUCGGGAAACCGGAGCUAAUACCGGAUAAUAUUUUGAACCGCAUGGUUCAAAAGUGAAAGACGGUCUUGCUGUCACUUAUAGAUGGAUCCGCGCUGCAUUAGCUAGUUGGUAAGGUAACGGCUUACCAAGGCAACGAUGCAUAGCCGACCUGAGAGGGUGAUCGGCCACACUGGAACUGAGACACGGUCCAGACUCCUACGGGAGGCAGCAGUAGGGAAUCUUCCGCAAUGGGCGAAAGCCUGACGGAGCAACGCCGCGUGAGUGAUGAAGGUCUUCGGAUCGUAAAACUCUGUUAUUAGGGAAGAACAUAUGUGUAAGUAACUGUGCACAUCUUGACGGUACCUAAUCAGAAAGCCACGGCUAACUACGUG